GUCAUUUGCUGCCUCCGCCUCCCCUCGCCCCCGCCUCCCGCCUCCCUCCUAUUCAGACAACGUCGCGCUCGGAAACUUAGAUUCCUUCUCCUUUUUGGCCCUGGACGAGCCCCCCUCCCCACCUGUUGUGAGCUCCGCCUUGGUCCCGGGAGACUGGCAGUGACACACGCGGGCGCCGGGGAGCUCCGCGCCCAGAAACAAAGUCGCAUGCCCCCUCCCAAGUGUUUGCUUCGAAAUCGCUGCCUGCAGCCCCCACCGUUCCCGCGCAGCUCCCGCCCCCUGUGAGAAUAAGGACUAAAUAAACAGUUGUAACUCAAACCUUGCGCCCGCGAUCGUAUCCCCAUCCCACCCCCUUCUCCCUAUUCCUCCCCCCUCCUUUUUGUUGUUGCAACUUUGUGAGAUCCUGGGGAAGGUGCUGAGACUUUGGCUCGGGCCGAUUUCCCGGUCUCAAGAUCCUUGCAGGGAUUCCCUGAGCCGCAUCCUCUCUUCCCUCCACGCGCACUCGCGGGUCCUCGGAGCCCGCUGCCCUCUCUGUCCUGGCCCCUCGGCCUACUCACCCGUCCCGUCCCCUUCAGUUGCCCCCAGCCUGCCCGGGGAAGACUUGCUGAGGGUCGCCCCGGUUUCUUGUCGACAGCAGAACCCGAAAGUUUGCAAGAGGAAGAGAGCGCGCGGCGAGCGAGCGGGCCGGGGGCAGCGGCAGAGGCAGCGGCGCUGGGGACCAUGGUGCUGCCGGCGCCUCCUCCGCGGGCGUGAAGGCGGCGCUCCUACUCCCUCCCCGGACUCCGAGGUGUCCCAGAAGCUUUUGUUGACAAUUCCAGUUUCCGAACAAAACAUUUCGGCAAUGGUGAGGGCUUCGAUGCCUUCUCUGAUUUGCCGUCGGCCAUGAACGGAUGGAUGUGAUGCCUGCUAGCCAAAGGGCUUCCCUCUGUGUGUUGCAGUCCUGUGGCAUUAUGCAUGCCCCCUCCCAGUGACCCCAGGAUUUUUAUGGCUGUGAGACACGAUAAAAUUUCAGGGUAAGUGACAGACACCACUGAUGCAGUAUACCACUGAAAAAUUGCCAUCUACCUUUGCGGGAGACCCAGUGGUCGAUAUAGUAAUCCUGCAGAAGAUGAUGGGCUCUGUAAUUAUCAGGCCCUGAUUCUGAAGCUAGCAGGCAUUUGAAUGCUGUUACCCACCCCCCCAUGAUGGCUUUAUGGUUUUUAUGAAUCGGGUUCAUAACUUGGAUCAUAUUUGUGGGAAGGUGACCUAAUGCAGGAAUUGGCAAAAUUUGUAAAGGACCGAAUAGUAAAUAUUGUCAUCCUCAUGAGCCAUACAGUCUCUUUUGCAACUAGUCAACUCUGCCUUUAGAGCACAAAAGUAGCCAUAGAUGAUACACAAGCAAAUGGGUGUCACUGUGCUCCAGUGACUUUAUUUAUGAAAACAGACGGUAAGCCAUAUUUGGCCUGAAGGCUGUAGUAGGCUGUCCCUUGAUCUGAUGCAUCAAAGAGGGACAUUUGACCUGUAAACCUGACACCUCACUGGGUACCACUCCAUCUGACCUUGAGCAAACCAUUUGUCUGCAAAAAACAGGAAUAAAAAAAAAAAUACCUGCCCUUACUACCUUGAAAGAUGGUGUUGUAAGGAUGAAACAAGAUAUAAUGCAUGUGAAAGCACUUUGAAAAUUUCGAAACUCCUUACGAAUGUGAUGAUCGGCUCUACAGUCAUUCCGGUUCACCUCGUGGAGUAUGACUUCUUCACCUUUUUAAUCACGUUGGGCUUUCAUGAGCGAAAUGAGUGUGGGGGAAAGCUCUCAUAUUUUCUGAGUAAUGUGGUUUGUCUGUACGUUCCUUCUAUUUUACAGUUGAUGGACAAGCUGUUGAAAUGUCUUUUUUUUAGUAUCAAAUAUGGAUGAAGGGAUAUGCGGGUAGAUUAUGGUAGGCUAAAGAUCAAAUGCCAAUGAAGAACGAUUAAAUUUCCUUUAAUCAUCAGAAUCUGAGAGUGCCGUAAGAUCUCACCUUUAAUAUAGGCCUUAAUAAAUAAUAAUGCUUUGGAUGCCUACAAGUAUGUUUGAAUUUCACAAGCCUUGCAUGUCAAAACAGAGAGACAGGCUCAGCAAAUAUGCUUCCCUGGGCUAGCAGUACUAAUUAAGAAGGAAAGUCAUACUUAAACAAACAGCUUUGGGAAUAGAGGGUUAAUCAGAAUCCCAAUUCAUGAAUUUUCUAGUUUCCCUCAGAGAAAAUUGUAGUGUCAUCUUUAGAUACAUUUUCAUAUUAUUAGUUAAGAAUUGUUUUCUAAUAAGGAAGAUAUAAGUAUAAAAAUUAUUUAAUUAUUCUCUCUUGUAAAAACAUCUGGGAAGAGCAGUUUGUGCCUUCUGUCUUUCUGCUCUGCUUAUUCAAGUGUGUUCCUUCAUCUUCAAGGUCACAUGGUGGCUGCUGGCUGUCAGGCCAUUGCCUCUGCAUCCUGAAAGGAGGAGACAAAGAAUAGUUUUACUGGCUGAGGCAGGCCUCUUUAAAGCACCUUUCCUGCAGCCUUAUCCAGUGAUGCCUGCUUACAUCCUAUUAGCCACCCCUAACUAUAAAGGUAUCUGGGAAAUGCAUCCUUAAAAUUUGAUGUCCCAGAUAAAUUCUGGGUUCUAAUACUAAGAAAACACAAAUGCUUACUGAGCAAUCAUUGUGGCUACUUAUACAAAAUAAUGCUGUCAAUUUUGCUACAUGUUUAAUUUUUAUUUAUUUUCAAUGAAUGUCUUCUGUUGACUAUGCCUUGUUUGAAUUUUACAUGUUAGAAUUUUAGCCUUUUUAAUUCUUAGCAGAGAUACAGCUCAGUAAAUAUUUUAGGACCAUAGUAUUCUUACUGAAAGUGCCUCGGCGAAUCUGGGAAAUAAAUUUCUUUAUUAAGAGAGCCAUAAAGCAAAAUUUAAACUCUAGAAUAUGCUAGGCUAGUGGGUUUUCCUGCCUGUGGAUGUAAGAUUUCAGUAAGGCUUGAGUACUAGUAUGAGGUCUUAGCAACUUGCACUCACACCCAGCUCUGUUCCCCCUAGAUGUGCAGGGCACGUUGCUGACAGCUUUGCACUGUCCCUCUGUGCUUAUGUAGACUCAAGGGCAGGACAGAACUCUCCACGCUACAUUUCUGAGAUUUGUUGCUCCCUGUAUCUCUGCUGAAAGCUUACCUUGGGAGUGGAGUACACGGGACAAGUAAGCCACUCCCGUCCAAAUUUUCUAUCGCAAAUUGGCCUGUACGCGAUUCCUGUGAAAAUUGUUAUCCCAUAAAAUGAAUAGAAUGAGACUUCCCUCUACUUUGUAUUAAUAAUAUAUUUUCUGCCUAUACCAGCCUGUGACGGGUAGUCAUAAAACUUAGGGUAAUGGAUGUAUUCACAGACACUCCCUGGAUGCCUGCUGUGGAUACAGGAUAGCAGCAUGGUUAAGAGCAUCUGCUUUGAAGUUAGAUCGGCUUAGACUCAGAUUCCACCUCUUCCACUGCCUGGCUGAACAACCCUAAGCAAGUUACUUAACCUUUCUGUGCCACGGCCUCCUUAUCUGGAAAAGGGGUUAAAAAUAGAAGCCAGCUCACUAUAAAGAGUUAGAGAGGUGCUGCUUGUAAAGAGCUUAGCACAGAUCCUGGUACAUCAUAAAUGCCAGCGUUGUGCUAGGCACCCCAGGUGAUACAGUGGAAAUCCCUGUCUCUGACAAGCUUAUACGAUCCUGUUGCUGGUUCACUCGUCGUUGUUUUACUGAUAGAUGACUCAUGUUUUGCAGUCCGUUGCUCCUCACCUGGUAUUCCCUUGUGAAUUCAAGUAGAGCCUUGGGCGGUUGUCCUGAUAUACAUUGAAAGCAGCUAUGUAUACCGCUGGUCUAGCCCUGUUAGCAGAUCUUAGGUCUCUGGGUCCUGUUUUGAGGAUUUCCCCUGAGAAGCAUGCAGUUCUUUUUUUUAUUCCUUUUUUUAACUUAGUCAGACAGUGGGCCUGCCUCGCAAGCAGAAUUCACUAACUGGUUUCAAGUUGGUAUUGCUGAUGAUAAUCUGAAACUGUAGGGUUUCACUCAUGCAGGCUGAUGCGACAUGAUGUCGAUCUUCUGCUACCUCAUCCCCUG
ensembl:lincRNA